AAUUUAUCUCUUUACCCACCCGUUCCGGGUAUUGGGGUUACCCGUCCCAGUCCAAGAAGCACGGGCAUUGAAUCAUAAUAUGGAGUACCAGACGACAAGAAAAACAAGUUUAGAGUUAUCUCCCUUCCCCCGAUUUGCAUUAGCAAAACAUCGGUCAUUUCUGUACAUCAUAUGUCACUCAAUUAUUCGAGA